CCUACGGGGUGCUGCAGUGGGGAAUAUUGCACAAUGGAGGAAACCCUGAUGCAGCGACGCCGCGUGCGUGAAGAAGGAAUUCGGUAUGUAAAGCUCUAUCAGCAGGGACGAAAAUGACGAUACCUGAGUAAGUAGCCCCGGCUAACUCCGUGCCAGCAGCCGCGGUAAUACGUAGGCGGCAAGCGUUAUCCGGAUUUACUGGGUGUAAAGGGAGCGUAGACGGCAGUGCAAGUCUGGAGUGAACGGCGGGGGCUCAACCCCAGGACUGCUCUGGAAACUGUACGGCUAGAGUGCAGGAGAGGUAGGUGGAAUUUCUGGUGUAGCGGUGAAAUGCGUAGAUAUUAGAAGGAACACCAGUGGCGAAGGCAGCUUACUGGGCUAUAACUGACGUUGAGGCACGAAAGCGUGGGGAGCAAACAGGAUUAGAUACCCCUGUAGUC
rnacentral:rRNA from 1 species